GACGAACGCUGGCGGCGUGCUUAACACAUGCAAGUCGAACGGAAAGGCCCUGCUUUUGUGGGGUGCUCGAGUGGCGAACGGGUGAGUAACACGUGAGUAACCUGCCCUUGACUUUGGGAUAACUUCAGGAAACUGGGGCUAAUACCGGAUAGGAGCUCCUGCUGCAUGGUGGGGGUUGGAAAGUUUCGGCGGUUGGGGAUGGACUCGCGGCUUAUCAGCCUGUUGGUGGGGUAGUGGCUUACCAAGGCUUUGACGGGUAGCCGGCCUGAGAGGGUGACCGGCCACAUUGGGACUGAGAUACGGCCCAGACUCCUACGGGAGGCAGCAGUGGGGAAUAUUGCACAAUGGGCGGAAGCCUGAUGCAGCAACGCCGCGUGCGGGAUGACGGCCUUCGGGUGGUAAACCGCUUUCGCCUGUGACGAAGCGUGAGUGACGGUAAUGGGUAAAGAAGCACCGGCUAACUACGU
rnacentral:rRNA from 1 species